CCUACGGGUGGCAGCAGUGAGGAAUAUUGGUCAAUGGCCGGAAGGCUGAACCAGCCAAGCCGCGUGAAGGACGAAGGUGCCAAGCAUUGUAAACUUCUUUUGUCAAGGGACAAAAUCAGGCUCGAGAGCCUGAACGAGGGUACUUGAAGAAAAAGCAUCGGCUAACUCCGUGACAGCAGCCGCGGUAAAACGGAGGAUGCGAGCGUUAUCCGGAUUUCUUGGGGUUAAAGGGUGGGUAGGGGGAAAAUUAAGUCAGAGGUGAAAACCCGGGGGUCAACCCCGGGCGUGCGGUUGAAACUGGUUUUCUUGAGUAGUGGAGAGGUAUACGGAAUUCGUAGUGUAGCGGUGAAAUGCGUAGAUAUUAGGAGGAACACCGGUUGCGAAGGCGGUAUGCUGGAGGGCAACUGACGCUGAGGCGCGAAAGCGUGGGGAGCAAACAGGAUUAGAUACCCGUGUAGUC
rnacentral:rRNA from 1 species